UUUGGUGACUAUUGCGAUGGGGUUCACCUCUUACCAUUCCGAACAGAGAAGUUAAGUCCAUCAGCGCAAAUGGUACUGCCACUAGGUGGGAGAGUAUGUCGUUGCCUUCU
rnacentral:rRNA from 1 species